AAUAAUGAGACCCUCUUGGUGCCCACUACACAGGCAGGGGUGUCCAGACCUGCUCUAGGAAAGCCAGUGUUCUGUGGAGUUUAGCUCUAACACACCUGCCUGGAACUUCUAACUAAUGAAAUUGAAGUAUCCAAUGAAGACCCUAGCAGUAUGGAGUAUAUGGUGAGUUUUUUUUUCAAGGUUAAUAAAUGAUUUGUUAAAGUUAAUACACAAGAAUUUGAGUUCUCCAUCCUUUUAAAUACUUCUAGGAUACAGACGUUGCCAGCAAUCAGGAGGUGAUCCAGAAGACUCGUGGGAAUCUAUUUGAAGCUGCAGUCAAUGAAGACAGCCCAGCAGAUGUUGGAGUGUUAAAGGAUAAAGUUCUUCAGGACCUAGCAGUUUACAGUCUGCAAAACCAUGUUGCUGGGACUGAUAUAUGGACUGAACUUGAGCAACCCUCCUGAACUCAGGUACAGAUUUGGAAUACUGAAGAAGUUAUUUCUGGGGCCAGUUCCUGUUCCUGGAAUAAGGUUUGAUUGGUUA